AGAAGUCCAUUGGAAUAUUAAGCCCAGGAGUUGCUUUGGGGAUGGCUGGAAGUGCAAUGUCUUCCAAGUUCUUCCUAAUGGCUUUGGCCAUAUUUUUCUCCUUCGCCCAGGUUGUAAUUGAAGCCAAUUCUUGGUGGUCGCUAGGUAUGAAUAACCCUGUUCAGAUGUCAGAAGUAUAUAUUAUAGGAGCACAGCCUCUCUGCAGCCAACUGGCAGGACUUUCUCAAGGACAGAAGAAACUGUGCCACUUGUAUCAGGACCACAUGCAGUACAUCGGAGAAGGCGCGAAGACAGGCAUCAAAGAAUGCCAGUAUCAAUUCCGACAUCGAAGGUGGAACUGCAGCACUGUGGAUAACACCUCUGUUUUUGGCAGGGUGAUGCAGAUAGGUAGGAAAACAUUUAAAAUAUUUUUUAAAAACAUUAACUUUUUUUCCUAGAAGAAAUCCUUAGCAUUUACUUCAUGCUUGAUAGAAAGCAUGAAGGAGGAUGCCUUCCAGCUCGGGUGGUGGCUUGGGCAUUUUUGUCAUUAUAGCAAAUGAUGUUAAUUCCUGUCCCUACACCUGAUGAUAAGUUUUGGAUUUUAAUCAAAUCAGGAGGCAAGUAUCACAGACACCUUCAUUUUUCCAAACACUUAAUUUUUCUAUAAAGCAUUUUGUUUAAA
rnacentral:sRNA from 1 species